rnacentral:rRNA from 1 species
ACCAUAAAAUUGCCAUUGAAACUGGGAGACUUGAGUAUGUUUGAGGUAGGCGGAAUGCGUGGUGUAGCGGUGAAAUGCAUAGAUAUCACGCAGAACUCCGAUUGCGAAGGCAGCUUGCCAAGCCAUAACUGACACUGAAGCACGAAAGCGUGGGUAUCAAACAGGAUUAGAUACCCUGGUAGUCCACGCAGUAAACGAUGAUUACUAGGAGUUUGCGAUAAAAUGUAAGCUCUACAGCGAAAGCGUUAAGUAAUCCACCUGGGGAGUACGCCGGCAACGGUGAAACUCAAAGGAAUUGACGGGGGCCCGCACAAGCGGAGGAACAUGUGGUUUAAUUCGAUGAUACGCGAGGAACCUUACCCGGGUUUGAACGCAGUCCGACCGCCGAUGAAAGUCGGCUUCUAGCAAUAGCGGAUUGCGAGGUGCUGCAUGGUUGUCGUCAGCUCGUGCCGUGAGGUGUCGGCUUAAGUGCCAUAACGAGCGCAACCCUUGCCGUUAGUUACUAACAAGUUAUGUUGAGGACUCUAGCGGGACUGCCAGCGUAAGCUGUGAGGAAGGCGGGGAUGACGUCAAAUCAGCACGGCCCUUACAUCCGGGGCGACACACGUGUUACAAUGGCGUGGACAAAGAGCAGCCACUUGGCGACAAGGAGCUAAUCUCCAAACCACGUCUCAGUUCGGAUCGGAGUCUGCAACUCGACUCCGUGAAGCUGGAUUCGCUAGUAAUCGCGCAUCAGCCAUGGCGCGGUGAAUACGUUCCCGGGCCUUGUACACACCGCCCGUCAAGCCAUGGGAGCCGGGGGUACCUGAAGUCCGUAACCGCGAGGAUCGGCCUAGGGUAAAACUGGUGACUGGGGCUAAGUCGUAACAAGGUAACCA